GAAACAUGCCAUGUAACUAAAUUUUCGGUAAUACACAGCAAGAAAUUUUAUACAAACCAGGUAGGGGUCACGACAUCUCUCGGAUCCUACGGGUCAGGCCUAUCGGAUCAUCAAACCGGGAAAGGAAUAUUCCGAUUAGGCCGGAAUUCGAACUCGUAAUCGGAAUACAAUCGUAGCUCCACCAGGGAACGGCUAAGAGUUUGAACCGCGUCUUCAUCAGCCUGCAGCAACAACAGGAGAAAUCAAGCCCGAGGAGAAUAGUGCACAGAAAAUCCGUUACCCGAUUCUACGAGUCGGAUCUGAAUAUUCCGUUUUGGGAAAGGACAUGGUUCCCCGUGCUAAUGUUGUUGAUGUCACUCUCCUUUUACGGCCUCGCAGUUCUUCUUUUCCGAACUCUCGACUUUGAUUUUACAUCCUCUUUUGUCUCUGCUACCUCAGAAGUUGUGCAGGUUACAUAUGGGUCAGUAUUAAGUUGAUGCAUGAAAGAAACAAAAUUUCGAUUGCAUUCCCAUAUGAUGUGCCCUAUGGUUCCAGCAGUGGGCAAAAGAAGAAGUGAAUGGUCGAGUGACGAAUAAGUGUAGUAGAAUAUCAUAUUCGAUGAAACCAAACAAGUAAAAAAGAAUUAUUGGACUCCAUAGUUGUGGAUACUGAAACCAGUAUGGGUGAACCAUGCAAGCUGGUUAGAUGCGUGGGACAGAAGGCUGGUAGUACCUGCUAGUGCGGCUAUGCAGUGGAAGAGAAGGAGCCUAAAUCGACCCCCUUCUUUUUUUCUUUGAAAAAAGCAGUUAGGAUGGGGGAGUUAGCAAAGUUAGGCAAGAUUGGAAUGGGCAUAGGAACAUGUAUGGAUGUACCAGUUCGGCUAAUGUGGGUCUAGGUUGACUUAUUACGAUGAAAACAGACAGAACUAAAGGGCUCGGUUACUGGUUUUCCUGGUGGAGAUGAUUCCAACAGCUACUAGGUUGUUAGGAAUGUCCCUGACUCAUUCACCAAACAAGGUGACCCUAUUAAGAGUGGAACCAUCAUCAGGCUACAACAUAUGAGGACGAGGAGAUAGCUGCACAACCACUUGCAUAUCUUUGUGCGGAAUUCUUUCUCCGUUAGGCUAUGCAUCCAUCUCCCAUAUCAUGCAACCUGGAGUUCAGUAGGCUGGAAUUUUUCUCUCCCUAAAUAAAUGAUACCUGUUGCGUAUUUACGGCUUAUAUGUUGGAAAUACUUCUGGAAAGUUUAUUCUAAUGGCACAUUGUGGACCUUGAUUGAGUACACGAAAUGUAAAAAUAUGGAGUUUUAUGGAUGAUCUUGGCUAUAUAUUUUCAUGUAUACUGUGUUCCAGGAUGCUCAAAAGAAAAAAUUAUACUAACGAAAAUGGAAUGGUAAAAGAUGGUUAUUUCUUGUAUAACGUUAAUGUGGUAAAACAUACGGGUAAAGUACAUGUGUUGAUAUAUCUUUUGAAAGAAAAUUAAGGAUUUUUAUUUACACCGUGGGAUGGGAUAAUGCCUGGACAUAACAGUAUGUUUAACCCCUUUUGUUUCACUGCUCUGGAGAGGAGUUUGCGGUGAUUUAAUCAUCUUAGAUGUCCCUUUUCUGUCUGUUAGUUAGUAGCAUGAUAUAUUUUGAUCUCCUAGCCAAUUGUUGUUGAAGUCGGAAGUUUUCAGAGCUGAAAUUAGUUGGUGGAAAUUUUGCAGGUGAGUUACUUCGGUGAUGACAAUAAGCCUGAUACUGGGGACUAUUGGAUGUUGGGGUUGUCCUAAUUCAUUAGAAAUUCAACAUUCUUGUUGAUCUUUACCAUAGCUCAGUAAAUCGAUUUCUAUCUUUCUUCCUCGUGUUGUUAGACUUGAGAUUGAGGGAAGCGAGAAAACUUGGAGGGCAAGAGCAAAGGAUCAGGCUUCAACACGUUGACACUGGAGGUUAUUUUCACAGUCAUGACAAGAAACACACCCGAAUUGCUGGAGGUUAGCAGAUGAGUUCCAAGAUCUUGAUGGCAGUAAGAGUUGUCAUUUCACUUAAGUACCUUAUGCUACAUUUAUCAGCCUUACUAUUUUCAUUUCUAGAUUCCUACAGGUGUGUGGUGUAAGAGAAGCAGCAGAAGGAGUUUACCUGCCAGUUGCUGGGAGCAAGUAAAGUGUUUGUUGUUGUAAGCCUAUUAUGAGUUCUCUGGAUCUCAUCCAACCUCUUGUGCUUUUUCAUCGCCUAUUAUGAGUUUUCUGGAUCAGUGAUUAGUAGAGUAGUAUAGUACUUUUAAGUAGUUUUCUCAAAGUAUUUAUUAGCAGUAUAUAAUUGCGUUAAUUGCGCAGUAUUAAACUAAAAUCUAAUACAAUGAUGAGAACAUUUGUACUG